rnacentral:rRNA from 1 species
UUUAAUGAGAAUUUGAUCUUGGUUCAGAUCGAAUGCUGACGGCGUGGAUGAGGCAUGCAAGUCGUACGAUAUGGGGGCAACUCCAUAUAGUGGCGCAAGGGUUAGUAAUACAUAGAUAAUCUACCCUCGACUCGGGAAUAACGGCUGGAAACGGCCGCUAAUACCGGAUGAGGUGGUGGUUGGCAUCAACUAUUUAUCAAUGCGGGGGAUCGAAAGACCUCGUGGUUGGGGAAGAGUCUAUGGGAUAUCAGCUAGUUGGUGGGGUAAAGGCUUACCAAGGCUAAGACGUCUAGGCGGAUUGAGAGAUUGACCGCCAACACUGGGACUGAGACACUGCCCAGACUCCUACGGGAGGCUGCAGUCGAGAAUCUUUCGCAAUGGGCGCAAGCCUGACGAAGCGACGCCGUGUGAGCGAAGAAGG